AUACGGAGGAUGCGAGCGUUAUCCGGAUUUAUUGGGUUUAAAGGGAGCGUAGGUGGGAUAUUAAGUCAGCUGUGAAAGUUUGGGGCUCAACCUUAAAAUUGCAGUUGAUACUGGUUUCCUUGAGUACGGUACAGGUGGGCGGAAUUCGUGGUGUAGCGGUGAAAUGCUUAGAUAUCACGAAGAACUCCGAUCGCGAAGGCAGCUCACCGGGCCGGAACUGACACUGAUGCUCGAAAGUGCGGGUAUCAAACAGGAUUAGAUACCCUGGUAGUCCGCACAGUAAACGAUGAAUACUCGCUGUUUGCGAUACACGGUAAGCGGCCAAGCGAAAGCGAUAAGUAUUCCACCUGGGGAGUACGCCGGCAACGGUGAAACUCAAAUGAAUUGGCGGGG
rnacentral:rRNA from 1 species